UAGUUAGUAAACUUAAAAAAGCCUCGUUUUAUUUAUCCAUCCCAUUCAAUUUGUCAGCUGUCUCUUUUGUUGUCUUGCGGAUCCUCGUAGGAUGGUAGAUUC